GUGGGGAAUAUUGGACAAUGGGCGAAAGCCUGAUCCAGCCAUGCCGCGUGUGUGAAGAAGGUCUUCGGAUUGUAAAGCACUUUAAGUUGGGAGGAAGGGCAGUAAGUUAAUACCUUGCUGUUUUGACGUUACCAACAGAAUAAGCACCGGCUAACUUCGUGCCAGCAGCCGCGGUAAUACGAAGGGUGCAAGCGUUAAUCGGAAUUACUGGGAGUAAAGCGCGCGUAGGUGGUUCAGCAAGUUGGAGGUGAAAUCCCCGGGCUCAACCUGGGAACUGCCUCCAAAACUACUGAGCUAGAGUACGGUAGAGGGUAGUGGAAUUUCCUGUGUAGCGGUGAAAUGCGUAGAUAUAGGAAGGAACACCAGUGGCGAAGGCGACCACCUGGACUGAUACUGACACUGAGGUGCGAAAGCGUGGGGAGCAAACAGGAUUAGAUACCCUUGUAGUCC
rnacentral:rRNA from 1 species